rnacentral:lncRNA from 1 species
GGGAGUUGGAGUUGGACUCUUGGGUGCCUGUGCUGGCUCUGUCGUUUGAUGGUAUCUUGGGAACACCGUCGUGGGUGUGCACCCGUGUGGAAAUGGAUCAUUUCUACUUAUCCUACUUACCCCUUAGUUUCAACAAGUAGGUGGUGCGGUGGAGACUGGGGAGGGGCUGGGGGGUGGGCAGCAGGUCCUUGCAUAUCAGUCACUGUCACUUUAUGUUCUGGGGACUACCCCUGUUCUCCAAGGACUGACUUUUCACAGUUGGAAUUUCCAGCCCUCGGGAGACAGAGAAGGCAAAGGGACAAAGCACUUGGGAGGUAGCAGCCUUCUAAAAGAAACACUGCCUCUGCUUGGGGACACGUACUGAGGAAGGCGGAAGAGGGAGAGGAGGAGAAACUCCUGAGUGCUGACCCACAGGGGCCCCUUUUAUGGCCUUCCUGUUUAUGGCUGAGAAGUAAACAGCCUGGGAGCCAGGUCGUCUCCGACGGCAGCUGGGGCACUGCUCGAGCUGGCUGGGGACCCUCUCUUUCUGGGUGGCAAUGGGCGGGGAAUCUGCCAGUCACGAAAGUCUCAGAGGACUUAUUUUUUUUUAAACCAGCAUCUUGGGGCAUUUUCCCUUCAGCUCACACCAUCUGCUUUACCCUCCUCAUUGGUCCUGCAGCUUUCGGUGGUGGAGGGGGGUGCAGGGGGGCACAGCUGGGAAUCUGUGUGUGCAGGCAAGGGGUGAGGAUCCCAGCUGUGACACUUAGCAGCUGUGUGACCUCAGGCGAGCCCUGCACCUCUCUGAGCCUCUUCUGUAGCUGGGUAGGAGGAUGUGGAGACUGCCUGUGAACAGCCCUGACAACUUGCCUGGCAUGUGGUAAGUGUCAAUACACCCCUGAUGAUUUCAACUGCCCUCCUGACUAAGCCCCCAGGGUCUUAGCUGACGGGAGGGGGUGGGGGGCUGAGAGGGGGAGGAGGGGUCAGGCCCACCUCUGAGAGGUUCCCUGGCCUCGGUCCAGACAGCCGCUCUCUCUCUGGAUCGGAACCUGCGGUACUCUGCCUCCUGAGAAAUGUGGGCUGUAAUGGACGACUAGAUGGUGCCCCAACUAAGAUGAAGAACACGGCGCCGGGGGCAGCAGACACCAGGAGAAUCAAUAAACUAUAAUUAUCAAGAGCGGUGUCUGUGAGA